UACAGAGGGUGCGAGCGUUGUCCGGAAUCACUGGGCGUAAAGGGCGCGUAGGCGGUCUCUUAAGCGUGUGGUGAAAGCCCGGGGCUCAACUCCGGGUCGGCCGUGCGAACUGGGAGACUGGAGCUUGUCAGAGGCAGGCGGAAUUCCGGGUGUAGCGGUGGAAUGCGUAGAGAUCCGGAAGAACACCGGUGGCGAAGGCGGGUCUCUGGGCCGAUACUGACGCUGAGGAGCGAAAGCGUGGGGAGCGAACAGG
rnacentral:rRNA from 1 species